AUUUAUAAAUUGAAAUGCACCAAUUCCGUUAUUUGGAUUCAUAAGCAUAGAAAUUUAGAAUUUCCGCAUGGAAAAAAAAAACUUGAAAUUUGGGAUCUCCAAUUCCCAAGUUUAAAUUCCAUAUAAAUAGGUGUCAUUUCUUAAUUUCUAUGAUUGAGAGUUUAAAAAUAACAAAUUCCAUAUUCAAUUCCAUUGUUUUUUUUUUGUUAACA
rnacentral:lncRNA from 1 species